UCAAGAGAUGAACGGUUGCCGCAUGAUUGGGGAUUCGCGCGCUGCCGAGCUGAGGUAAGGAACUGUCCAAUUAACAGCUAAAACUCUCACUAAAGCCUGAUGAAUUUGUUCCCAAACCGCACCAACGCUGUGAAUCCAUCAUCCGAAAGAGAGAGAAAAAAAGAGGAGUGAGAGAGAGACAUGUCUAAUUAUUGUCCCAAAGGAUCCUCACAGUCCAUUUAUGAAUCACCUCAGCGCUUUUUUCUCCAGCUCCGGAGAUUUCUUCACCAUGGCGAUAGCCUUCGGCCAGAGGAGAGAAGCUUUUAGUGCUUAAUGCUCUAUCUCUCUCUCUCUCUCUCUCUCUCUCUCUCUCUCUCACCUCCUUGCCCCUCUUUUUGGCCUCCAGACUAUUUUAUUUCUUAAAGGAAACGUUCACCCAAAAAAGACAAUUCUGUCAUAAUUAUUCACCUUAAUGUUGCUCCAUUCAUGGAUGUUGUUCUUUUUAAAGUGGAACACGGAAAAUACUUGGAAAAUCUUCACAGCAUGAGUGAAAUACACUAUUUUAUUAGUGUUUAAAAACUUCACAGUCAUUGACAAUAUGAACAACGGAUGGGAAAACAACAAAUUGAGGGGACAAAAAAAAUGGUCGUUAUGGUCCAGAUCAAAAAGUACGAUGGUAACCAUUACUGACGAGUGGACAAGUGUUGUCUUUCAUUACCUUUUUAAACACAUUGGCAGAUGAUCUCAAGAACACUUAAAAAUAAAAUAAAAUAAGGAUCUGAAUUUAAUAAGGAAGUGUUCACAUGAACUGAAAAUUGAAACAGUCCCAUCAAUCUUCUUUCUGUAAUGCUGCAGUGAAACCUCAGCUAUGUUGGAAAGAAAUGUCAUGGAGUGAUGUAAAUGUUGUCAGUGGCCAUUUCAGAUCUGCAUCAUGAUAAAUUGUCUAUGAAAGCCACUGAAUGAUAUUCGCAGUGACAUGGAGUGAGGAAACCUUCGCCGCCCUUAGUUUGUUUGUUUUGCCGGCCUGUGUGCCAGCGUAGUGAAGAAGAAGUAUGGCUUGUUUUGGUCCGAGUGGGCAGUGGUUGUUCGGAUGCCAUGCUAGCCCGUUGCGCUGCUCGGAAAGAAACGCCCACACACACACACACACACACACACACACACUGACACAGAUGAACAAAGACACAGUGCCGUGUACAUCGGAGGCCUUGGUGGUAUGUGGCAGAUACCCAGAGCUGUGUGUGCACUCCAGUGUGCCAAGAAGAAUCCCUCUGUUCAUGAGGUGGACCGUCACAACAGACUAAACAAGGAAAAAGGUCUUUCUCUUGUGUGACUUGAAAAGAAUUGAAGAAUUAAAGGCUUUGCCGUGGCAUAGACCAUGAAAUAACAAGACUCCUCUGUCAUAAAAGUGGCUUGCUAGGUUUGCCCCAAUGAUAAACUGGUUGGAACUGUACAAUUAGCUUCAUUGUACAUCACUAAUUUCUAUAGAACUACACAGGUUGGUGAGUCUCCACCAUGUGGUCAAGUUGGAGAAAUGUUGCCAAGAAAAACUGAUUCCCGGAAAUCUGUGUCUGCAGAACCCCAACAGUCUGCACUUUUUGGAUGUACAGUCGGGCUGUAUACAUGAGUUUUGUAAAUUUUUUGUCUUCCACAUUAAUAUGCAAAUACAUCAAAGCUGUGGUGCAGUGGAUUGCGCACAUACAUACAACAUAUAUGUGCUCUUUGCUUAAUGGGAUCACACUCUUGUCAGCGAUCCUAUAAAAUAAAAAUAAAAAAAAGCCCCAAAAUUUAAAUAAUCACCUGGAAGUUGACAUGUCUUGAAUCUAUUUCAAUCUUCAUAGAAGGCAGGUAAGUCUAGCAUAUUGUUUCGUCGCUGUCCCUUUUGAAACUUUUUGCACUUCAUUUUCUGGAUUUUCGGGGCAAUAAUAAUGUCAU